rnacentral:tRNA from 3 species
GUCGAAGUGGCGGAAUAGGCAGACGCGCUAGGUUGAGGGCCUAGUGAGUGUAAACUCGUGGGGGUUCAAGUCCCCCCUUCGACACCA